rnacentral:lncRNA from 1 species
CCGGUGUCGACUUACUAGCUGCAAGCCUCUGCCUGCCUUCCUGCGCGCCGUUCCCCGCUAGUCGCUGCUGCUGGCGCGCACUCGCCGGGUUUUUCCUCCCACGGCCUCGAGAUGGUGGUGAAUGUGGCACGGAGGAGCCGGGCCUUCCAACCCGGUGGGCCCGAGCUCCGAAAGGCCCCCUCGGCAGUGAGAGGGGCGGGAGCCCGCGGGGGCCGCGCCCUUCUCUCGCUUCGGACUGCGCAACGCUGCGCUCUGGGCUGACAGAUUCAUGUUACAUGUAAAGCUGUCCUCAUUUGUGACUAUGGACCUAUGGAGUUGGGUAAGUUAGUGACUACCCAAAGCUUUGUCACAACUUGGUGUGUAGCUGCAGGUAGUGCUCAACUAUCUGGGAUCCUGUCCUAAGUAGUCAACCUAAUAGAACUAUAAGGUUACUUAGGUCUGUGUCAAAGUUACAGCUUUUUUUUUUUUUUUUUUUGAGACAGGGUCUUUCUGUCACCCAGGCUGGAGUGCAGUGGCACAAUCUUGGCUAAUUGCCUCCCAGGUUCAAGUGAUUCUCCUGCCUCAGCCUCCUGAGUAGCUGGGACUAUAAGCACGCACCACUAUGUCUGGCUAAUUUUUGUAUUUUUAGUAGAGACAGGGUUUCACCACGUUGCCCAGGGCAGUCUUGAACUCCUGACCCCAAGUGAUCUGCCUGCCUUGGCCUACCAAAGUGCUAGGAUUACAGGCAUGAACCACUGUGCCGGGCCAGAAAGUCUUAGCAUCUUAGUAACAUUUACAUUUGGCCUCCCUCGUGUGCCCUUAGCUAUUCAUUACCAGAGGGCAAAGAUGGUUAGAACAUGAUUUACCCACCCUAAAAUGCAUUGAAGGCAUCAGAGGGCACCGUGGGCCACAAGGCCUGGUAGCCACAAAUGUUCAGUGGUGGCUGGAGCUCAUGAUGCAUUCUUUGGUGGGACGUCUCUCAGCAUUAGGGAGAGUUGAGAGUGGGGUAGAAACAAGGGGUUCCAUGUAGCACACACUGUAUUUAGAAUGACUGGUCCAGGAUGAAACCUAAUUUGAGUGGACAUCCAUGGAUGAGAAAUGCGGAUAUGGGACUGAGACCAGCUCCUAGGAAAAUGUCUGGGUGGGGGAAAUCUGGGAAUUAGUAACACAAUGGCUUACACUUCCUUUGCAGGACAAUCUCUAUGGGAAGCAGAAGGCAAGGACCCCGGUCAUUUUAGGUAGAAACAACAGCAUGCUAAUGCAAAAAAUUAUGCAGUGUGCUACUGAACUUCAGAGGUGAUCAAUAAAAGAAGAAUAAAAAGACUAA